GAACUAUGCUUAGAACAGAGUGAAGUCAGGGGGAAAACUCUGGUGGAGGCUCGUAGCGAUACUGACGUGCAAAUCGUUCGUCUGAUUUGAGUAUAGGGGCGAAAGACUAAUCGAAUCAUCUGGUAGCUUGGUUUUCUCCGAAAUUUCCCCUCAGGAUAGCUGACAUUGAUAAUGUACAAUUUUAUAACGUAAAGCGCAUGAUUAGAAGUAUCUGGGUUGAAAUAAUUUAGACUGAUUCUCAAACUUUGAAGUCGUAAGAAUUAAUAGUACCAUUUUGAUCUAUACUAUUAAUUAAAUGGAACAAUGUUUAGUGGGCCAUUUUGGUAAGCAGAACUGGCGAUGCGGGAUGAACCGAAAGUUAAGUUAAAGUGUCGAAAUAUAAGCUAAUUUAGAUAUCAUAAAAGGUGUUGAUUUAUAUAGAC
rnacentral:rRNA from 1 species